CUACGGGGCGCUGCAGUGAGGAAUUUUGCGCAAUGGGGGCAACCCUGACGCAGCAACGCCGCGUGAGUGAGGAAGGCCUUUGGGUCGUAAAGCUCUGUCAAUGGGGAAGAAGUUACUUGGUAUUAAUAGUGCCUUGUAUUGACGGUACCCAUGAAGGAAGCACCGGCUAACUCCGUGCCAGCAGCCGCGGUAAUACGGGGGGUGCAAGCGUUAUUCGGAAUUAUUGGGCGUAAAGGGCACGCAGGCGGUCCUGUCAGUCAGAUGUGAAAGCCCAGGGCUCAACCCUGGACGUGCAUUUGAAACAGCAGGGCUUGAGUACGGGAGAGGAAAGGGGAAUUCCUGGUGUAGAGGUGAAAUUCGUAGAUAUCAGGAGGAACACCGGUGGCGAAGGCGCCUUUCUGGACCGAUACUGACGCUGAGGUGCGAAGGCGUGGGUAGCGAACGGGAUUAGAUACCCCCGUAGUC
rnacentral:rRNA from 1 species